AUCGCAGAUCAGAAUGCUGCGGUGAAUGCGUUCCCGGGUCUUGUACACACCGCCCGUCACACCACGGGAGUUGGAGACGCCCGAAGCCGAUUAUCUAACCUUUUGGAAGAAGUCGUCGAAGGUGGAAGCAAUAACUGGGGUGAAGUCGUAACAAGGUAGCCGUAUCGGAAGGUGCGGCUGGAUCACCUCCUUUCUAAGGAGA
rnacentral:rRNA from 1 species